GACAGAGGGUGCAAACGUUGUUCGGAAUUACUGGGCGUAAAGCGCGUGUAGGCGGCCCUGCAAGUCGGAUGUGAAAUCCCACGGCUCAACCGUGGAAGUGCACUCGAAACUGCAGGGCUAGAGUCCUGGAGAGGAAGGUGGAAUGCUUGGUGUAGAGGUGAAAUUCGUAGAUAUCAAGCGGAACACCGGUGGCGAAGGCGGCCUGCUGGGCAGUGGCUGACGCUGAGGCGCGACAGCGUGGGGAGCAAACAGG
rnacentral:rRNA from 1 species